rnacentral:lncRNA from 1 species
GUGGCACCCAGCCUUCUUUCUCUCCGUGCUCCUCUGCAUUUACCAUCUCGCAGGAACCAAUUGAUGCUGAAAUGGAUAGAAGUAGCACGAGUGAAAACUGAAGCAGAGGCAUCAGGAAGACGCAUCCUCAGAAGCUGUAAGACAGCAUGGCGUGGGAGACGGCCCCUCUGUUUCGUCUCCUCAAGUUCCGUGGCAGACUAGUAAGACUGAGUUUGACACCUUGGGAGAGACACGUCUGCCAAGUUUGUCAUCCAUUAAAUUCACAUUAAAUGAUAAGAGUUGAC